UACGUAGGGUGCAAGCGUUAAUCGGAAUUACUGGGCGUAAAGCGUGCGCAGGCGGUGAUGUAAGACAGGUGUGAAAUCCCCGGGCUUGACCUGGGAACUGCAUUUGUGAAUACAUCGCUGGAGUGCGGCAGAGGGGGAUGGAAUUCCGCGUGUAGCAGUGAAAUGCGUAGAUAUGCGGAGGAACACCGAUGGCGAAGGCAAUCCCCUGGGCCUGCACUGACGCUCAUGCACGAAAGCGUGGGGAGCAAACAGG
rnacentral:rRNA from 1 species